CAUUCACCUCGCAGACUUCAUCUCCAACAUGAAUAAGGCCAGAUCUGUCGGCUGCACCACCAUGCAUUAUUCGUGCGAUCACGAUCUUCCCAGUGACCUCGCAGGUCUUUAUGGUCGCCCCCUAUUUUCAAGGUCGGUCUGUAACCGUUGCGGUAAACGAGAGGAAGGAAUCCCGGCGGGACGCUUUCACAGACGCCACACAGGUAACGAUAUAUAUAUAUGCAUAUACAUAUAUAUAUAAAUAUAUAUAUAUAUAUAUAUUUAUAUAUAUAUAUAUAUUGAUAUAAUGAAACAAGAGUAGGUGGACGAGACGACGUCGCCGACGACGUCGUGGACUACGUAAAGAAGGAACGAGGUGGAAGUGUUGGAUAGGAAGAGUAGAG